rnacentral:rRNA from 1 species
AACAAACGCUGGCGGCGUGCCUAACACAUGCAAGUCGUACGAGAAAGUCGGCUUCGGCCGAUGAGUACAGUGGCGCACGGGUGAGUAGCGCGUGGGUAAUCUGCCCCCCGGUCAGGAAUAACCCGCCGAAAGGCGGGCUAAUACCCGAUAACACUGACGCUCUGCGGAGUGUCUUUCAAAGAAGGCCUCUGUUUACAAGCUUUCGCCGGAGGAUGAGCCCGCGUACCAUUAGCUAGUUGGCAGGGUAAUGGCCUACCAAGGCAACGAUGGUUAGCUGGUGUGAGAGGAUGGCCAGCCACACUGGAACUGAGACACGGUCCAGACUCCUACGGGAGGCAGCAGUGAGGAAUCUUGCGCAAUGGGGGAAACCCUGACGCAGCAACGCCGCGUGAGUGAAGAAGGCUUUCGGGUCGUAAAGCUCUGUCAGAUGGGAAGAAAUGGAUGGGGGCUAAUAUCGUCCAUCCUUGACGGUACCAUCAGAGGAAGCACCGGCUAACUCCGUGCCAGCCGCCGCUGUAACAC